rnacentral:lncRNA from 1 species
GAUUGGUACAGAGACAGACAGGUCAAUCAAUGGAGUAGAAUUAAGACUCAGAAAUAACCCCAUACACCUUUGGACGCUUGAUUUUUGACAAAGAAGACAAAAACCAUAUAGUGGAAUAGAAAAAGCAUCUUCAACAAAUGAUGCUAGUCUAACUGGAGCUCUGUAUGUAGAAGGAUGCAAAUUGAUACAUAUCUAUCACCUUGCACAAAGCUCAAGUCCAAGUGGAUCAAGGACCUCAACAUAAAACCAGAUAUACUGAAUCUAAUAGAAGACCAAGUGGGAAAGAGCCUUGAACGCAUUGGCACAGAAGAAAAUUUCCUAAACAGAACACCAAUUACUCAGCCUUUAACAUCAACGCUUGAUAAAUGGGACCUUUUGAAACAGAAAAAGCUUCUGUAAGACAAGGGACACUGUCACUAUGACAAAACAGCAGCCUACAGAUUAGGGAAAGAUCUUCACUAACCCUACAUCCGAUAGAGAGGGAACAUCCAAAAUAUAUAAAGAACUCCAGAAGUUAGGCUCCAAAAACCCAAAUAACCCAAUUUUAAAGCGCAGUUCUGUAGUGUGUAAUUAUUAAAAAAAAAACAAUC